rnacentral:rRNA from 1 species
UGCAGAGGUCUCAAGCGUUGUUCGGAUUCAUUGGGCGUAAAGGGUGCGUAGGCGGCGCGGUAAGUCGGGUGUGAAAUUUCGGAGCUUAACUCCGAAACUGCAUUCGAUACUGCCGUGCUUGAGGACUGGAGAGGAGACUGGAAUUUACGGUGUAGCAGUGAAAUGCGUAGAGAUCGUAAGGAAGACCAGUGGCGAAGGCGGGUCUCUGGACAGUUCCUGACACUGAGGCGCGACAGCGUGGGAGCAAACAGG